GACGAACGCUGGCGGCGUGCUUAACACAUGCAAGUCGAACGGAAAGGCCCCUUUGGGGGUACUCGAGUGGCGAACGGGUGAGUAACACGUGAGUAACCUGCCCUUGACUUCGGGAUAACUUCAGGAAACUGGGGCUAAUACCGGAUAGGAUUCCUUGCUGCAUGGUGGGGGUUGGAAAGCUUCGGCGGUUUUGGAUGGACUCGCGGCUUAUCAGCUUGUUGGUGGGGUAGUGGCUUACCAAGGCUUUGACGGGUAGCCGGCCUGAGAGGGCGACCGGCCACAUUGGGACUGAGAUACGGCCCAGACUCCUACGGGAGGCAGCAGUGGGGAAUAUUGCACAAUGGGCGGAAGCCUGAUGCAGCAACGCCGCGUGCGGGAUGACGGCCUUCGGGUUGUAAACCGCUUUCAGCAGGGGCGAAGCUUGUGGUGACGGUACCUGCAGAAGAAGCACCGGCUAACUACGUG
rnacentral:rRNA from 1 species